rnacentral:rRNA from 1 species
UACGGAGGGGGCUAGCGUUGUUCGGAAUUACUGGGCGUAAAGCGCACGUAGGCGGCUUUGCAAGUCAGAGGUGAAAGCCCGGGGCUUAACCUGGGAAUUGCAGUCGAAACUACUCGGCUAGAGUAUGGGAGAGGACAGUGGAAUUCCCGGUGUAGCGGUGAAAUGCGUAGAUAUCGGGAGGAACAUCAGUGGCGAAGGCGGCUGUCUGGCCCAAUACUGACACUCAGGUGCGACAGCGUGGGGAGCAAACAGG